rnacentral:ncRNA from 1 species
ACCUUAUCAAGAGCGGCGGAGGGAUAGGCCCUGUGAAGCCCAGCAACCACCCAUAUUUGGGAGACGGUGCUAAAUCCUACAAAACCAUAUGGUUUUGAGAGAUGAGGU